AAUUCUUCAUCGCUUAGAGCAUCCGCAUGAUCCAGCAAUUGAUACUUUUGAAAAACAUGUGUUGAUGUAGUAGACAUUGGUAACAACACAAAACGGGCUCGCCAAUAUUUAACAGAGUCGGGUAAAUAAGUCUCAAAUCCACAUAUUAAUUGAUCGACGUAAUUCCAAUUAUAAUUUGCGGAAUCAUUGGCAGAAAAUGUGAUAUUAGACUUGACAUAUUUACAUUCAUUUUUAGACCAAAAAUUAUAAUCGUAUCUCAUUUUACCUUGACCAGAAACCUUUUUGACAUAACGCUUUACUUCAAUAUUGUAUCCUACUGAAUCACAUGAAAGCCUGUGGAACUGACUAUCGCCUAGAGAAAGGCAAACUGCAUCACUGCC